GCUUCCUUCCGCGUGUAGGGUUCUCCACCUCAAACCCUAACCUAAGAACCCUAAUCGCUCGCUAGCUCAGAAACCAGAACAAUGUCUCACUUUGGGAGAUCUGGUCCUCCGGAUAUCAGAGACACCUAUUCUCUUCUCGUUCUCAACAUUACAUUCCGAACCACUGCAGAUGAUCUGUUUCCUCUUUUCGACAAAUACGGAAAGGUUGUAGACAUCUUCAUACCUAGAGACCGAAGGACUGGAGAUUCACGUGGCUUUGCGUUUGUUCGGUACAAGUAUGCGGAUGAGGCGCAGAAGGCGGUGGAAAAACUCGAUGGAAGGACGGUCGAUGGUCGGGAAAUCAUGGUUCAAUUUGCGAAAUAUGGUCCAAAUGCCGAACCCAUUCAUAAAGGAAGGAUAAUUGAAAUAUUUCCAAAGACAAGAGGCAGGUCAAGAAGCCGCAGCCCACGUCCAAGGUACCGGGAUGAUUAUCGAGAUAGGGACUACAGAAGGAGAAGCCGUAGUAGAAGUAGGGGUCGUUAUGAUAGGGACAGGUAUCGUGGGAAGGAGAGAGAUUAUCGCCGUCGAAGCAAGAGCCGUAGUGGAAGCCCAGAUUAUCACAGAGGGCGUGGCCGAGGUAGAUAUGAUGAUGAACAUAGAAGAAGCCGCAGCCGAUCAUUUGAAAGUGCUUCACCUGUUCGGCGUAGUCCAAGUCCUCGGAGGAGCCCAAGUCCACGCAGGACACCUUCCAGGRAUGAAAGUCCUGAGAGACGCAGCCGUGAUGAACGAUCCCCAUCUCCCAGAAGUGUUUCUCCGCGAGGUCAACGUGUUGGUUCUCGAAGCCCAUCACCACGAAACUCAGAUGCUGAGGAAUAAACAGAGGGGCAUUACAUGUUAUGAGUUGCUACUGGUUGAAGGCGUUUUGUGUGAUCAUAUUGCUACAGCAGCAGAUCUUUGUGGACUUUGCAUGGUCUGAUAAAAAUUAUGAUCGUGAAAAGAGUUUUUGUGGCUGAUUGGCGGAUGGUGAUGUAGUAGCUGUUGAUGCUCUUUAUACUUCCUAGAUGGAUGAUGUUCGUUUUGAUGCCACCGCCUAAAAUUUUUAAGUAAUUUACUCUGAUGAUCGCAUGAUAGAAAAUAAUUGUAGCUGUGAGGCCUGAAAAAGAUGGUCGGGACAUGUGUCUUUACUUGUAGCUGAUGCUGCCAGUGGGCUGGACCUGAUUUUCAAUUACACUGUUGCUGGUACUUAAGACGUGACUUAGUAAUGCUGAGCUGACCCUUCCAUCCUGACGAGGUUGAGACGGGGUAGCAGACAGAUAUAUGAUUGCUUAUUUUGUUGAGGAUGCUAGGCUUCCACUURGGGUGAUGACUUAUGUUGCAUCAUGUACCAAGAUAUGAUGGCACAUGGAAUCGUGGCUGUAGCUGUGAAGUGGUUGCAAGUAUUCAUUGCAUCAUUUACUGGGAUGUGAUAGCACAUCAAGUUGUGGCUGUACCUGUGAGGUGGUAGCUGAGAUCUAUGUAAGGUUGGCUGUUGCUGUCCUUAAUAGUUGCUGGGGUCGGGUCGAAUUUGGUUCAACUGAUUUUGGUGCUGAGUGAUGCUUGGUUUGGUUGCUGAGUUGAAGUCUGCUCCAAUAGAUCUGCUUCUGCUGUUAUUCCUAAAUCCAUUUCAUGCAGCAGAUCGGUUGGAGCUUCCAUUGUUAUAAAAUUGUUAUUAAUCUCAACCUUGUCAAACUAUUGAACAUGGUUCACAGAGACUGGCUGUUAGUGGCACAUAAUUAGCUGUGUUCUUACUACUGCA